AUGUUUCUUGGAGGCUUCUGCUAUGUGCUCAUCUUCGGGACUGCAGUCUUACUGCCAAAUGUUCUCAGCCAUGAAAAACCGGCCUGGGCAACAAGUGGCUUAGAUUUCUCACCUAAAGAAAGAGAACAACUGUGGAAGAGGGAGCAAUCUGAUGUGUGUCUUCUUUUUGGUGUAGACAUUUCACGAAGGACCAUAGAGGCAUGGAUUAUUCGUAGUGCGCUGCUACUGGCCACAGCUCUUGGGAUUUCUAUUAUCUACAUUUCAUGGAAAUGCAUGAAAAAUGUUAAGCCCAGCCAGGCCACGACCAAGAUGCCAGAUGCUGCAGAAGGGAAAAAUGAACGGAUGAUGGAGCAGAUAGUGAAGAACACGANNNNNNNNNNNNNNNNNNNNNNNNNNNNNNNNNNNNNNNNNNNNNNNNNNNNNNNNNNNNNNNNNNNNNNNNNNNNNNNNNNNNNNNNNNNNNNNNNNNNUUCAGAGGGAUUACUAAAAACUCAAUUAACAACAGGAAGAAACAAUUUCUAUGAAACGGAGGGCGAGGAUUCAACCCCAAUGAAUCCCAAUUCCUGCUCAGAUUCUGGUCCAAAAGAAGGCAGAAGAGGAGGAAGGGGAAAGGCAGGAAGGAAGAAGGGGAGGGAGGAGGGAAGAAGAACAGGAAUGUGAGAGUGAGUGACAGGUAGAAAGGGUUGGGGGGGAAUGGGGGGGAGGUUGGGAGAGUUGGGGGGAGGGGAAAGGGAUAGACAGGUGUCAAGUUAAUUCAGAUGUUUUAAAUAAAAGUUGGCCCUGUUUCAAUCCACACUGUCUUUUAUUGCAGGGGUGGGAUGGCAAAGGUGACACAAUAUAAAUUAAAACAAUGCAAUUGUACUGUACUAAAGUAUUAAAAAUACAGUAUAUACUCGAGUAUACCCGAAUAUAAGCCCAAAAAAACUGGGAAAACAUUGACUCCAGUAUAAGCUGAGAUACCAGUAAAAUUACAUUAAUUAAGGCCUCAGUAGUUUAAAUGUUUUUGAAUCUUUACAUCAAACUGUAAUUUAAGAUAUGAGUGUCCAACUCAUAUCUUAAAGGCCAUCGAUGUGGGCGAAACAUCAGGAGGGAAUACUUCUGGAACAUGGCCAUACAGUCCGGAAAACAUACAACCCAGUUGCCUUUCACUUCCCUAUUGUCUCAGCUUUGUUCUUAAAUAUGUGCCAUUUGUAAGUCAAAUUUUUGCAACUCAGGGACUGCCUGUAUUCCAAGUGAGGUCUGACCAAAGCAGACUACACCAUGGCCAAUAUUCUCUGGUUUUAGGGCAGGGAGAGGAAUCUCAGAGUGAGAACAUUGCCAUUAAAGUUUUGUAUUUGUGUGUGUGUUCCUCAUUUAUUAAACUUGGUCUUUUUCUUGGCCAUACUCUGUGCAACAAUAGUUGAUGCUUAAGCUCUCAUGCCAGAUGGCAUCUGCAGGGGCUUUCGCUUGUGACAUCACCAAGGCCUAACUUCUAUGACCUCACACAAGGACUUAGGUUUUGGUCCCCUAAAUCUCAAAGCUUGAGAUAAUGUUCAUCUGGCAAUGCUACGAGCUGCUGAGAGCUAGCAAGGAUUUCCUCCCUUUCCUCUCAGUUGCUUCAUGAUUUUGAGAAAAUGCAAUGCACCAACACAAUUUUGGCCUAUAUUAAUUUAUUUAUUUUAUUUACAGUAUUUAUAUUCCAACCUUCUCACCCCAAAAGGGACUCAGGGCGGAUCACAAUGCACAUAUAUAUAUGGCAAACAUUCAAUGCCAUAUGAACAUAGAGACAGAGACAAAGACACAGAAGCAGUUUAACAUUUCGAAUCCAGCCACAAGGGAAGCUGCUGCUUCAUCAUCCACUGUGACACCAAGUCCUUGAUAGAUUACUUCCUCAUUCCAAACACUGCUGGACGAUUUUUACGGUGUUGUAAAUUAGUUAAAUUAGCCUCCCCACAUAAGUGGUACCUAAGUUUCCUACUUGAUAGAUGCAACUGUCUUUCAGGUUGCUUAGGUCAACAACGAGCAGGGCUAUUUUAAUGGUCAGGCAUUCAAUCCGACCUGGGCUGGCUUAGAAUUCAUGACUCAUAGUGAUUUAUUGCAGCUGCGCCACAGCCCGGCCCCUC
ensembl:lncRNA